GGCUCGAGUGACGACACCCAGGCGAACUAGCUACGAGCUAACCUGAAGCUAACCCUGGCUAACCCAAAGCUAAAGCGGAGGUGGGAGCCGAGCUAACGGAUGUAGCCACCUAGCUUCAACCCAACCGGAGCUAACUGGAACACCCAUCGACCUGAACCUCACACGGAGUUUAGGUGGAGGUUUUCUGCGCCUGUUCGUGAGAAGUACCUGUAUUAAAAAAGUUUUAAAUCGCCAUUUGGAUCAUUGGGGACAGCUGAGUGAGGCGUGGUGCCCAGAGAGCUGCAGAGACAACCUUGGCCUCCCUGACGUCUGUGUCUCCUGGUUCGGUUGGGGCGGACCAUCGACAUACAUACAUGUGCCGACACUGUGCCCUGUUUUAUAAAAUGUAGUGUUAAAAAUAAAUGUUUUUGCUCAA